UACGUAGGGGGCAAGCGUUAUCCGGAUUUACUGGGUGUAAAGGGAGCGUAGGCGGCGAUGCAAGUCAGAAGUGAAAGCCCGGGGCUCAACUCCGGGACUGCUUUUGAAACUGUAUGGCUAGAUUGCAGGAGAGGCAAGUGGAAUUCCUAGUGUAGCGGUGAAAUGCGUAGAUAUUAGGAGGAACACCAGUGGCGAAGGCGGCUUGCUGGACUGUAAAUGACGCUGAGGCUCGAAAGCGUGGGGAGCAAACAGG
rnacentral:rRNA from 1 species